rnacentral:sRNA from 1 species
AAGAAGACUAUCGCCGACCGUACCGCA